rnacentral:rRNA from 1 species
UACGUAGGGAGCAAGCGUUGUCCGGAAUCAUUGGGCGUAAAGCGCGCGUAGGCGGCCCUGUAAGUCCGCUGUGAAAGUCAAAGGCUCAACCUUUGAAAGCCGGUGGAUACUGCAGGGCUAGAGUCCGGAAGAGGCGAGUGGAAUUCCUGGUGUAGCGGUGGAAUGCGCAGAUAUCAGGAGGAACACCAAUAGCGAAGGCAGCUCGCUGGGACGGUACUGACGCUAAGGCGCGAAAGCUAGGGGAGCAAACAGG